rnacentral:rRNA from 1 species
AAAAAACAUGUCCUUUUGUUUUUAUUUAUUUAAGGUUUGACCUGCCCACUGAUUUUUUUUAUUUUGAAUGGCCGCAGUAAUUUGACUGUGCAAAGGUAGCAUAAUCAUUAGUUUUUUAAUUGAAAGCUUGUAUGAAUGGUUGGACGAAGUAUGAUCUGUCUUUAUUUAAUUUAUUGUAGAAUUUAAUUUUUAAGUUAAAAAGCUUAAAUAUUUAUAAAAGACGAGAAGACCCUAUAAAUCUUUAUAUUAUUUUAAAUUAUUUUAAUGAAGAGUAUUUAAUUUAUAAUUUUAUUAUAAUAUUUUAUUGGGGUAAUAGGAUAAUUAAAUAAAUUUAUUUUGUUUUUAUACAUUAAUUUAUGAUUUUUUUGAUCCAAUAUAUUUUGAUUAUAAGAUUAAGUUACUUUAGGGAUAACAGCGUAAUUUUUUUAAAGAGUUCAUAUCGAUAAAAAAGUUUGCGACCUCGAUGUUG